ACGAACGCUGGCGGCGUGCUUAACCCAUGCAAGUCGAACGGAAAGGCCCUGCUUUUGUGGGGUGCUCGAGUGGCGAACGGGUGAGUAACACGUGAGUAACCUGCCCUUGACUUUGGGAUAACUUCAGGAAACUGGGGCUAAUACCGGAUAGGAGCUCCUGCUGCAUGGUGGGGGUUGGAAAGUUUCGGCGGUUGGGGAUGGACUCGCGGCUUAUCAGCUUGUUGGUGGGGUAGUGGCUUACCAAGGCUUUGACGGGUAGCCGGCCUGAGAGGGUGACCGGCCACAUUGGGACUGGGAUACGGCCCAGACUCCUACGGGAGGCAGCAGUGGGGAAUAUUGCACAAUGGGCGGAAGCCUGAUGCAGCAACGCCGCGUGCGGGAUGACGGCCUUCGGGUUGUAAACCGCUUUCGCCUGUGACGAAGCGUGAGUGACGGUAAUGGGUAAAGAAGCACCGGCUAACUACGUG
rnacentral:rRNA from 1 species